CAGUGAGGGAAUUUUAUUUUCCAUUGUGUACUUCAGUCCUCAGAUCCAGCACUCAGCAUUAAGUUGUUACAGCUCAGAAGCUGCCACCAACCUUUAUCCAAUGAUGACAUGACAUCCCUGGUCUCCCUCUCAACAGUCCUGGAUGCUCUGUCUUCCAUGCCCUGUUUCCUUUCAGGGUAUACUAGGACCUGCAACACCCUGCUCCUUGUAUCCUCUUCCCUAAUUCUGCUUUUUUUUUGCUUUUUUUUCCUUUCACCAGUGCAUCACCUCUUUGUUACAGGAUGCUCUUUGGGGAAACAAUAACUAUUUGCUACACAUUUGUGCAGUGCCCAGCACAGCAGACCCUGCUUAGGUCAACACUUUUUGGCACCAUUGCACCAAAUAUUAAAUGCUAAUAGCAGGGUGGUGGAGCCAUGCUUCACCAUGAGUAUCACUAGAUAGAAUUGCACCACCCCUUUUAUUAUCACCUAUGACUUCCUGUUAAAGGGGGGUCAGACUUGAAUGCCUCCUCUGGCUCACACUGUUUUAACCAACAUCAUGUCUUGGUUUCUUAAUUGUUUACACCUUCAAGAAAAAUCCUGUAUCCUGUAGAGAAGCUCCCAACUGAUGUCUAAUCAUUAACUCCAGAACAGGCAAGCCAAAAUAUGCAGUACUACUUUGUAUUAGUGCUCUUUAGUUAUAAUAAUGGGUUGCUUUUCCCCUAUGGUGCUCGGAGCUCUUUACAAAGAAAGAGGAGCAUUGUUAUUGCCAUUUAAGGGGUGAAAAAGCUGAAAUGCAAUGAAGAAACAUGCCUUGCCCACAGUUAGACAGCAAAGGAGAGUCCAACUCUUCAUACCUACCUUGUCAUCGGGACUCCAUACAAACCUACCAAAAGCUGUGUCAUAUCCACGCCCCUAAGUGAGAACUCAGUGCAGCUACUUAAUAAUAACAAAAAGUAUAAUUUAUCCCAUAUAUGUCCAGGAAUCAAUGCCAGUUGUUCUGACAGGCACUCACAUGCUGUUUGGUUGGGCUGAGUCUGUUCUUAACAGAUGCUCAGCUGCUUGUUAAUGGGAUGGAGAGAUGAAAAUGAAAGUCUACAGGCUACACAAUAAGCAAACUUUGUCCCUUGAUCACAGCACAGUGCCUCCUGGUCCUGACAGUUGCAGUUUUAUAGUGGGUCAGGUGGACAACAGAUGUUCACCUGCUUAACUACAGUAGCAGUAAAACUCUUAAAAACAACCUCUGAACUAAAAGACCCAUCUACUCUUGCUGCUUUGCAAUCAGGAAGGAGGCCUUUAGAUGUAUGUCUAUAUGUCCCAUCUAAUUUCCUCUCAGAAAGCUCAAGCAGUGGAGCCUCCACUCUUUCCUUGGCCAUAUAAUUUCUUUCUAUGGUAAAACCCUGCUCCUCUGAUGUGACUUUCCUCCUCCAUCCCACAUGGCUAAUUUAACUUUUCCCUCCCUCAUCGGCAUGGAUGCAAUAUGCACGCUGAAAUGUCAUCACUCCCCCUCACAAUCACACUGUUGUGCUUGCUCAUCUGGGGUCCAUCUGUGGGGUGGUGGUAAUGGAGUCCUAUUAUGCUGGAGAGUAGGAGGAUGGAGGGAUGAAAAGCAUGGGAAUCCUGACUAUUGCCCUGAGCUGGGUGAUCACACCCUGUUUAUUGGGUUCAGUGCUGAGGCAGCUGUGUGAAGCUCCAUACCCUGUGAUACACACAAUGACAUCUCCCAGGAUGGCCUCACCCUCUUGUCCAGUGGAAAUGCCAUGCACCUCGUGCUCACCUUUGCUGCUGUUUGCUGACUCUGCUUUGGUGACUCUGGGGAACACCUAAGGGACUUUGGAAUUUAGCAUUCAGAGUGCCUGCGCCAUGUUCAGAAUAAGCAGGAGGAAACAAACCUCUGUGUUGAUCCACAUCAAUUUUCUGUGUUUAGAAACUCAGGGAAGGAUUCUAAGCUAAUAGGACCAAUGAUUUUCUCCAGAGCUUUUAUACUGUGUAUGGGUCUGCUGCUGCUGUAACACUAUGGAGCUGAUACCUGCAAAAACAUAAGUUUUAGUGAAUCUGUAUGAACAGAGACUGGCUUUGAUGCUCAAAGCUAAUGUUAGGCAGCACAUAGACAUAUGUGGGAUGUGAGCUGGGAUUUUGUGGUCACACUUUCUUCUGAAGCAUCUGUCUGAAGCCCAUUGAGAGGCUGACUACUAUGAGUCUGAGGGACAAGUGCAGUGAUGCUUGCAAAUCUUCCCACAGCAGAGUUGUUGGCUAUGGAUGAGGCAGAAAGGGCCACAUGAGAUAAAGAUACUGCUGUCCAUAGUAAGACAAAACCCUUGUCUAGGAAAAAAAGAAAAAUUAAGAAGGAGUUUAUCUUCUGUGUACUUCAUAUGUAGCCUGAAUUUUCUGCUGCUUGGAGGAGAAUGCCAAAUACAGUUCAUAUCCUCCAAAGGAAGAAAUUUGGUUUAAAAAUUAAAAGAGCUAGACAUCUGUCCCUUCUGAAAUUAAUAUGAGUUAUGCAUCCCAAUCUCUUUCGCAUUUUUAGACUUUCAUCCCACAGAAAGCACUCAGCUAUGCUUUUAUAACCGGGUUCCCCUUCUUUGCAAAAUCAACCCCUCCUUUUCAUGUUCAUCAUCAACGGGGAUCAAAACUAGCCUGCAACCCAGAAAAGGCAGGCCUAGUGUUUGCCUUCUACAUCUUUGUUUAGCCCUCUGACAGGGCUCAUGAGAAAGUGCAGGUUGCGGCCUUGGCUCAGGGCUGAAUGAAUAAAGGUCACCAUGCUCCAGGAUGGAGGUUCAUUGUCACACAGUGAGACAGAGACAGCCAGCUAAGCUGGAGGUGGUUUGAAGAAAAGAUGCAGCACUCAGCUGUGCUCACCUCCACAUACACUAAUCUCACAGGGUUGCUCCUGCCUGCAGAAAGCAUUUGACUCAUGUUGAAUGGUGGAGCAGGGUCUUACCCAUGGUGCUCCUGUGGAAAUGCCUUUUCUUACAUGCUGGGAAGAAGAAGAAGGACAAGCUGUUAGGGCUGAGGUCUUCAAUAAACCACUUGAUGAUUUCCUUGAGGAUGAGCUGGUUAAGCAGGAAAAGCAGAUGAAAGAAAUAGUAAUCAAGUGCUACAGUGUUGGCAAAAUAAUCUAAGAAUUGGUAAUUCAGUAGGUUCUUUGUGAAUUCCUUUGCUUUGGUUUUACUCAUGUGCCAUUAUUAUUCUCCUAUCACUAACCAACCUCUGGAAAAACAUGAUUAAAACAAGAAACAAACCCCACCAGACAACCGGGAGGAACUGCUAGAAAUAGGAUCCCAGCUGCCAUCUACUUCCUUAUAAAACCAAUAAAAUCUGGUCUUUCUCUAUCCUGCAUUGAAGAGCUUGUGGAGUUGAGGACGUUUUUCGUGCCUAAAAAGACAUUCUGUGUUUGAACUGCAUAGCCCCUUCUCCUCAUCCCUCCAAAUCUUUCUUUCUUUGUCUUGCUUUAUUUUAACUGCUUGCAGACAAGAAUGUUGGCAGCAAGCAUAUGCAGUCCUGAAUGGAUUGAAUAUGAGUAUCAAGAAUGAAAAUACAGAGAUAUUGCAGACCUCAAGUCCUCUAAGAUAGCAGGUUGAGUUAUGGAGACAUUCAGUCUUUGGGCUAUAAUAGUAAAUUGAUAAAUCUUUAUACUGGAUUAUGUGCUGGCACUAGAACUGUUGUUAAAACCUAGUAUACAGGAGUUCUCAAAUUAUUCCCUGAUGAAAAGAUUGGGUACCAGGAUUUUGACUAAAUUCAGUACUUCUUUUGCCCAACAUUUAGUUUAAAUCAUGAAACUCACUGUCAAACAAAACUGCAAAGGCAAAUGCUUAAGCAGGCUCAGCAAAACGUACCAACUGAAUUUGUGAAAGACUGUCUCAUCAGCAGUGGUUAAAGAGGACAGGACAGAUGGUCAAAAGGAAGAAUCAGUACACAGAGAGCCCUGGGCAGGCUGGAAGGUUGGGCCAGCUAGGGAAGCAUGAAGAAUUGGACUCUCUUUUUCUGGAAAUACUCAUGACUAGAUUUGACAGGGCCCUGGAUAGCUCAACCUAGGCUCUGCUUUACGUAGACCAGAUGGUCCCCAAGAGCAGGGACCCAGCCCAGACUUUCUGAGAUUCAAUAGAUUCAAGCCUGAAACCAAAUAGUCAGGCCAAGGGGAAGAUUCUUCUUCAUUUGUCUUUGCUUUUAUUUUUCUAGGUACCUGCUGUUGCCUGUUGGUAAAAAUGGCUUGCUGAGCUGGGUGAAUCCAACCUCAAACCACAUCAGUUUUUGUAUUCUUAUGAUUCCUGUGCUGUAAAACCCCAUUUUCCUCUCCAAGGAGGACGCUGUAAAUGCAAAGUUCACAUUGGAGAUAGAGCAACCUUUUGACACAGCCAUGCAGUCACUGGGAUAAGCUAUAUCAUUCAGAUGAGUUGUUAGCUGUUGCCUAGAAAAAAACCAAAACCAAAAUCAACCCAAAAAAACCCAAAACCCAAAAAAACAGAAGGCAGCUGGGAAUAAGAAGGAAAGAAUGGAUGCAUGUCCGGAACAUGACUGCUUCCAUCAAUAAAGCUGUCUCUUGUACGUGUGCAUGUCUGUAUAGCACACACUGCUGAGCUAGAAAGGAGUGCUUAGCAGACAGCGUUGCUUGCAAACCCCCUGCCCCCAAGGACCAUCUCCAAUCAAUCUAAAAUGAUGGUGGGUUCACUGGAGUGCCUUGUGACUUUACAUCCACCUGAGACAGCAGCUCUGUCUCUAAUGGCAAUAGCAGUGUGUGGGCAGGGAAAGGAGGCAGCAGAGCGGAAGGAUGGCUGGUACAAGUGAACCAGCACUGCAUGGAUGGAGCCAUCCAUGGUGACCCUCAGGCCACAGCAAGAUGGGCCCUCAGUAGCAAGCACCACCCUCGCUUUUUUGGUGCCAAGGGAUCCACACUGAGGUCUGUGAGCUGCAGGUGAAGCCUUCUCUGACAUUGCCUUUAUUAAUAAUACAGCUGCUGCAGUGGGCAGCAGCCUGGGCUCUCAGUCUGCUUCAUGUUGAGGCCUUUGUCCUCAUCUGGGCAACGUUUGAAACAGGGAUGUGCUGAGUUUGUUUCUGGGUCAAACAAAAGCCUCCUCCAGUGAAUGCCACUGUGGCUCAGAGGCUUUCAUCUCAGGACCUACCUGUUCUGUCAGCUCUGCUUGCAAAGCCUGCGUAACUCUUUGUGUUUGUUCUCAAAACAAGCAUUCAAAUACACUCUUUUGUAUUUUCCUUUCCACAAGAAAACCAGAGCAGAAGAAACCUGUGUGAACAAGCCAGGGGGAGCACCCUUAGCUGUGCGAAGCCAACAACAACAGGGGCACUGCUUUCAGGUUCCUCACAGCUCUGCAGCAAAGGAGAGCAAAACAGCAAACCCAAUGUGGAAAGAGCCACUGGUGGGGUUUGCUUCAUGAAAAAAUGCUGCCUUUGUGUCCUGUAGAUGCUGGUCACGGCAAAGCCAGGCAGGGACCCAUCUGUGGUCUUUCCCCCAGUCUCUCAUGGCCUCACUACUCUAAGGCUGACACAGUUCCUCUACGAAGGGCAGAAGUAAGCACUGUGCACAGGUGGCUUCUUUAUGAAGCUAAGGGUGGAAGGAUGUCUGGGUGUCUGAGAACCUUCCUUGAGUCUCUUGGGUUGCAUGGAGCCGGUCUAGGUGCUGAGAUAGCCCCAAACACAUGGGAAAAAACUUCCUGCCACAGCAGUCCAAUGGGCUUCCCAUGGACUCUGUGUGAGCCCCUGCUCUAAGCAAGACAGCUUGAACUCAUCAGGGUCAUCAGUCCUAACCCUGAGUGCACAGCCACUAGGAGAUGUAACUUACGGUCUGCCUUGUGUUUUCUGUCUGUAUUCUCUGUUUGUCCUCUAACCUCUUUGAACUGUCUUUUAAAAUGUCUAAACAGUGCUCAAAGUGGGACUCCCACAGAAUUACCAUCCAAAUUAUAAUUAUACCCAGUCACAAUAUUAAAGUUGAAGGGCCAAGUACUCGAAAGUUAGGAAACAAUAGAAUUUCAAUUGCCUCUGUACUUUAAUGCAAAUCCUUCCCUCAGCAGCUGCUGUGGUUUCUGUGCAGUCUGUUUGCUGCAAGUGGGAGAACCCAGGGCACGUUUUCUGGGUUCCUCAGUAACUCCCUGCUGCUCCCACGAGGCAUUGAACACAGGGCUGGCUGAACAUGUUGGAGGUAUCUGCCUUUGUCCCUCUGUGUACCCUGCAGCUGUGGGAACACAAUGGUGGAUGGCCAGUGGGGUGGAGGAGCUGGUAGAUGAAAAAUAUCUCAGCAGGAGCUAAUGGUUUUUUCUAGCCCAGAUCACUCCUGUGCAAAGCCUGGAGGGGUGGAGUGAGGAUGAGAGUGAAGACUAGGAAAGAAGGACUUUCGCUGGCUUUGCUCCAAACAAAGCUUUCUUCCAGCUUGGGCAAACAGCAAUGCUUGUGUGACUCUCUUGAAGCCUUUUUUACCCUUCACAACUCCUGAGCCAGUGUUUUUUAAUCCAAGUUACUGAACAUGUUGAGCAAGGAUGGAGGCAGGAGGGGAUCUAGCAAAGAGAGAGGUGAUGGUUCUGAGUGACUGAGUGCUACCCUGGAUAAUGGAGUUCUUCCUUCUCAGCACCUUGGAGAUGUUAAACACAUCACUGUGUCUAAAUUUUUGCAGGCAGUCAUUGCAUUUCUUCCUCAUUUUUUGAGUGCUUUUAAGUCCUUUCUUCAAACCAGAAGAGCACUUGGACUUGUAGAAGUAAUGCCAUUAGAUUUUGUCAAUACAGCCACAGCUGAGUCUUCAGCCUUCUCAGAUAUGGUAACCUGUUUCACCAAAAAUUCAGUCUGGGGCAAUCCCCAGGAAUGUAAACUUUCAGCUUGCAAGGUGAAGUGUUGGAAACAUUGAUAAAUUCCCCAAAUCAGGCUCCUGGAGUGGAAAGCAUUUGGCAAGCUUGUAAGAGGUGAAACCAAUCCACAACACUUGAGAAUAGAGCUUGUCUCUAUAAAUAAUAAAAAGGAGCAGCUGUUAUCUAAAAAACUCUGAGCAUGAAACAAAAAUGUCCUCCAGGAUAUUUGUAUACACUUGCAGGAACUGGCACACAGCUGGAAUGGGUGUACACAAUGCCUCUCUGAGGCUAAUGAGAUGUUACCUCUGCUUUAACUUGAAAGUGACUGGGCUUGCAAGUGCAGUGUGGACAGCUGUAAUGCUCCAGCUCUCCUCCUUCCAGGUAAAAGUGUGCAGAAGUGCAGUACCUGAGGUUUGUCAUUCCAUUUGCAGAAGUGAUUCAGGCAUUCACACCCCCACAGCACAGAUUCAAAAUCUGGGUGACUACAGGGUUCUACACCACUGUGGUUGGUCUGGUUCUUCUACUUCAUCUCUCAGCUGAAGGUCUUAAAGUGAUGUAAGUAACAAUGUUAAAUAUGACUUUAUUUAUAAACCUGGGGAAAAUUUGGCUCUGGUAGGUGUGUUCUGAAGGUGAUAUACCCAGCAAUGAUGAAAAAGAGACUGUCAGUUUGAGUGCUCCACUGUUGGCUCCUGCAGUUGAGGAUGUUUGCCCUGAACAUCCCUUUCUGUGGCUGGUAGCAACACCGAAAAAGAAUAACUCCUUCCUUAAACAUUUGGGAGGGAAAUGAUGGGAAAAGACACAGACCACGUCAGCUGUAACCAGCAAAGUCCAUUUUUCUUUGAGGGCCUCCCUGGCACCAGGGCUAGAAAGCCUGGUGUUCAGUUGAAAGUCUUCUCCCACUUCGGUCAACCAGCCUGGUGGAGAGACAGGCUUUCAGAAAAAAUGGUUCUGGAGACUCAGGGUAAGAGACCCCCCUGCUGCUUGCAGACUCUGCAUUUUAGGGUACUGCCUUCCAGCAGCUUGUGAAGAUGGUUUUGACUACAUGAAAAAGUCUUGCUUUUAAAUUUUAAAAAUUGCCUUUUAUUCACUCUCUUUCUUGUUGCCUUUCUUUUGUUCCUUUCCUUACAACAUUGGGGUUUUUUUUCUUCCACAUCAUAUUCACCACAUCCUUGAAGUAGAAGGAGAGAAACUAAAAGAAAAUAUUUAAUACCUCAAGUGUUUUUGAACCAUCAGCAUUAUGGUGGAAGCCUGAAGAGGUCAUCCCUGGAAAUAAUCCAGCUGGUGAACUCCUUGGGGAUGUCACCUUCACAAGAGCAGUGCCAUUUCCUCAUGAGGAUGGGACACAGCAACGCAGAGAAGCUGGCUGAAAAAACCUGCAAGAGGAAAGAAGGGAAGCAGCUCCCACACUGGCAAACCCAGCCAGCAUGCCAGACCCUCACAAGAGAGAACUGCUCAGAAAAACAGGGGAAGAGGCAUGCACAGAGACAAGACCAGAAACAUAAUUAUCUGUGUUUUUCAUUAAUAAAACAUGGCAGUCCUCGCAGACAGAGGGUGAGGUAAUAAGGAUAAUAAUAAUAAUAAUAAUAAUAAUAAUAAUAAUAAUAAUAAUAAUAAUAA